UACGUAGGGGGCAAGCGUUGUCCGGAUUUAUUGGGCGUAAAGAGCUCGUAGGCGGUUUGUCGCGUCGGAUGUGAAAACCUGGGGCUUAACCCCGGGCCUGCAUUCGAUACGGGCAGACUAGAGUUCGGUAGGGGAGACUGGAAUUCCUGGUGUAGCGGUGAAAUGCGCAGAUAUCAGGAGGAACACCGGUGGCGAAGGCGGGUCUCUGGGCCGAUACUGACGCUGAGGAGCGAAAGCGUGGGGAGCGAACAGG
rnacentral:rRNA from 1 species